UACAGAGGUCCCAAGCGUUGUUCGGAUUCACUGGGCGUAAAGGGUGCGUAGGUGGUGAGGUAAGUUUGAUGUGAAAUCUCCGGGCUUAACCCGGAAAUGGCAUUGAAUACUGUCUUGCUAGAGGAGUGGAGGGGGGACUGGAAUACUUGGUGUAGCAGUGAAAUGCGUAGAUAUCAAGUGGAACACCAGUGGCGAAGGCGAGUCCCUGGACACUUCCUGACACUGAGGCACGAAAGCUAGGGGAGCAAACAGG
rnacentral:rRNA from 1 species